GACGAACGCUGGCGGCGUGCCUAAUACAUGCCAGUAGAACGCUGAAGAGAGGAGCUUGCUCUUCUUGGAUGAGUUGCGAACGGGUGAGUAACGCGUAGGUAACCUGCCUUGUAGCGGGGGAUAACUAUUGGAAACGAUAGCUAAUACCGCAUAACAAUGGAUGACACAUGUCAUUUAUUUGAAAGGGGCAAUUGCUCCACUACAAGAUGGACCUGCGUUGUAUUAGCUAGUAGGUGAGGUAAUGGCUCACCUAGGCGACGAUACAUAGCCGACCUGAGAGGGUGAUCGGCCACACUGGGACUGAGACACGGCCCAGACUCCUACGGGAGGCAGCAGUAGGGAAUCUUCGGCAAUGGGGGCAACCCUGACCGAGCAACGCCGCGUGAGUGAAGAAGGGUUUCGGAUCGUAAAGCUCUGUUGUAAGUCAAGAACGGGUGUGAGAGUGGAAAGUUCACACUGUGACGGUAGCUUAACAGAAAGGGACGGCUAACUACGUG
rnacentral:rRNA from 1 species